UACAGAGGUCUCAAGCGUUGUUCGGAUUCAUUGGGCGUAAAGGGUGCGUAGGUGGCUCCAUAAGUCGGGUGUGAAAUCUCGGGGCUUAACUCCGAAACUGCAUUCGAUACUGUGGUGCUUGAGGACUGGAGAGGAGACUGGAAUUCAUGGUGUAGCAGUGAAAUGCGUAGAGAUCAUGAGGAAGACCAGUGGCGAAGGCGGGUCUCUGGACAGUUCCUGACACUGAGGCACGAAGGCCAGGGGAGCAAACAGG
rnacentral:rRNA from 1 species